CCCUUAGAUGUUCUGGGCCGCACGCGCGCUACACUGACGGAGUCAACGAGUUGUCCUGCAUCGGAAGGUGUGGGUAAUCUUUUGAAACUUCGUCGUGCUGGGGAUAGAUCUUUGCAAUUUUCGAUCUUGAACGAGGAAUUCCUAGUAAGCGUGACUCAUCAGAUCGCGUUGAUUACGUCCCUGCCCUUUGUACACACCGCCCGUCGCUACUACCGAUUGAAUGGUUUAGUGAGGCCUCGGGACUGGCGCGCUCGAGUAGCAAUACACCUGCGCGCCGGGAACUUGGUCAAACUUGAUCAUUUAGAGGAAGUAAAAGUCGUANCA
rnacentral:rRNA from 1 species